CGAGAGUUUGAUCCUGGCUCAGGAUGAACGCUGGAACSGCGUGCUUAACACAUGCAAGUCGAACGGUGAAGCAGARCUUGCUCUGUGGAUCAGUGGCGAACGGGUGAGUAACACGUGAGCAACCUGCCCCGGACUCUGGGAUAACAGUUGGAAACAGCUGCUAAUACCGGAUACGAGCCGUGAUCGCAUGGUCAACGGUUGGAAAGAAUUUCGGUCUGGGAUGGGCUCGCGGCCUAUCAGCUUGUUGGUGAGGUAACGGCUCACCAAGGCGUCGACGGGUAGCCGGCCUGAGAGGGUGACCGGCCACACUGGGACUGAGACACGGCCCAGACUCCUACGGGAGGCAGCAGUGGGGAAUAUUGCACAAUGGGCGAAAGCCUGAUGCAGCAACGCCGCGUGAGGGACGACGGCCUUCGGGUUGUAAACCUCUUUUAGCAGGGAAGAAGCGAAAGUGACGGUACCUGCAGAAAAAGCGCCGGCUAACUACGUGCCAGCAGCCGCGGUAAUACGUAGGGCGCAAGCGUUAUCCGGAAUUAUUGGGCGUAAAGAGCUCGUAGGCGGUCUGUCGCGUCUGCUGUGAAAACCCGAGGCUCAACCUCGGGCCUGCAGUGGGUACGGGCAGACUAGAGUGCGGUAGGGGAGAUUGGAAUUCCUGGUGUAGCGGUGGAAUGCGCAGAUAUCAGGAGGAACACCGAUGGCGAAGGCAGAUCUCUGGGCCGUAACUGACGCUGAGGAGCGAAAGGGUGGGGAGCAAACAGGCUUAGAUACCCUGGUAGUCCACCCCGUAAACGUUGGGAACUAGUUGUGGGGACCAUUCCACGGUUUCCGUGACGCAGCUAACGCAUUAAGUUCCCCGCCUGGGGAGUACGGCCGCAAGGCUAAAACUCAAAGGAAUUGACGGGGACCCGCACAAGCCGGCGGAGCAUGCGGAUUAAUUCGAUGCAACGCGAAGAACCUUACCAAGGCUUGACAUAUAGAGGAAACGGCUGGAAACAGUCGCCCCGCAAGGUCUCUAUACAGGUGGUGCAUGUUGUCGUCAGCUCGUGUCGUGAGAUGUUGGGUUAAGUCCCGCAACGAGCGCAACCCUCGUUCUAUGUUGCCAGCACGUAAUGGUGGGAACUCAUGGGAUACUGCCGGGGUCAACUCGGAGGAAGGUGGGGAUGACGUCAAAUCAUCAUGCCCCUUAUUGUCUUGGGCUUCACGCAUGCUACAAUGGCCGGUACAAAGGGCUGCAAUACCGUAAGGUGGAGCGAAUCCCAAAAAGCCGGUCCCAGUUCGGAUUGAGGUCUGCAACUCGACCUCAUGAAGUCGGAGUCGCUAGUAAUCGCAGAUCAGUCAUC
rnacentral:rRNA from 1 species